ensembl:lncRNA
AGACAAAGGUCAUGGGGGGGGGGUUCUCAAGCAAUCACAGGUGCAUUUUAUCCUAAGUGAUGACUAGAUGAUCAGGCCUCAGCUGGUGCUACCCUCCAGAGAAGAGUUAAGCUUUAGAGUGUCAGAGAAAUCAGAGCAGGCUCCAGCAGGAUGCUGGAUUUGAGCAAUGGGUCAGAUGUGAGCCAGUGAGAACUAGAAAGGACUUUCCACACAUGGGAAAAGCAGAAACAGAGGCAAUGAGGAAAAAUCACUAUGUUUACAGAAUAUGUGAGGAUAUCCUAGGCAGAGAAAAGUUUCCUGCUGGGAAAUAAAGGUAAUCUUAGGAAAAAGGAUCCAGCUUAUUGAGGACUUUAAAUUCCAAACCAGUAGUUGAAAUAGAUUACUAUUAAUGAUCAUGACAGAGUUUGAGAAAAACUAACCUGGCAAUAGUUCAAAGGAUGAAUUGAAGAUUAAGAGAUAAAUAAACCGGUUUGAACAUAAAUCCAGGUAAGAAGCCCCAGUUAGGAUCAAAGCUAUGCAGAUGGGGAAUAGGGACCUCUAUCGAGAUGGUUUAUAUUGGAGUGAAUGAAGCACACAAGCAAGGCUUGAACACGUGGUCAACCUAUCCUGGAAAUGAGUUUAGCUGCACUUGGAGGUUGCAUUUGGCUGAUUGUUGGGUGCUAAUUACACCUGCACUUUUCCCCAGGAGGUUGCAUUUGGCUGAUUGGAGCUGCCCAAGUCAGAGAUGAAGCCUCCUUCCACAGUCUACAGAGGCAGCUGUCCAGCCAUGGACUACACUUGCCAGCCUUUCUUGCAACUCGAUAGGGCCAUGUGAAUAUUUCUCCCUGAGAACAAUUGAGAUGUAUUCUCUCAAGACCAAGAUUAAGAAUCUUUCUCCAUUUGUUUUUUCCCUAUGCUCCUCCUGCGUGUAAAGGGUGAAAACCCUGGGAAGAGGAGGCCACAGAUAAAAGGAGGCUGAGUUCCUGAGUCACCAUGUGGAAGCUGCCGCCAGUCAGGAUUGUUAAAUGACUGGGGUCACAGUCGCAACAGCUGCAUUACUCUAAUAUCCUCUCUCUGUGAAUUCUAAUGGGAUUCCUGACAUACUGGGAAGUGGGGCUGGAUGCUUCUGAAAGCUCCUUCUGAUACACAUUCUCUGGCACAUUUCUUCUGAAAUUUAUAAACUAUUGUACUUGAAAGUUAUGUUGUCAAAUAGGAUCAUUUAAUUAUCCUGUAGUAAAUAUUGCAGAGCUUAAAACCACUGCGUCAGAAGAACUGGUCUCUAGCUCUGGCUCUUCUACAAGCCUGUUAUAGAGUCUGGAAAAUAUAACUUUACUUCUCUGAGCCUCAGUUUCAUCAACUGUAAAAUACAAAUAAAAUGCAGUGUGAACGAGGAGAGACAAUAUGACCUCUAAAUUCCUUUCAAAUAAAAUCUCUUCGAGAAAUGUACAGCAACAGCUCUUUACAGGCAGAGAGAAGUGGGAGCACAGAACUUUAGUGCAUUAAUGAAUAUUGCACUAAACUUAACCUAUAAUAAACUCUUUAAUCACAGAGUAUCUUUUAUUAUUGGACUUAAAAAAUUGGAGAUGAGUCAUUAGGCUCUUCGCUUUUGACUCUAGAUAUAGUCAAAUUGUCUUGACCAACUCAGAUACUCCAUUCAGUUGAGGCAGUAAUUGGGGAUGAUUUGUUUCAGGAGUAGGAAAUGGGGCCAGGUGAGUCCAGUGGGAAAUGACUGGCAUUGCCAAGAAACACUCCAGGGCACCAGGCCAUGACCGUCAGUGACACACAAGCCCGCACUGACCAUGAAUCCCACAGUAAACCACAGGCUGAUUGAAGUUCUGUUUUCCUUUACAAACAAAUAGGCAUGGCGGUGUUCCAAUAAAACUUUGUUUACUGGUUUCAGUUAUCAUUUUUAAAAAAUUAACCAACCUAAGGAAGUCAUUUAGAAGGCACAAAAUUAUUACAGAAAAAAUCCUGCAAGCUAUUAGAUAAAUCUGUUUCCCUGGUAAACAUGAAGCCUUCUGACACUCUGCAUCUC